rnacentral:rRNA from 1 species
AGCAGCCGCCGCGGUAAUACGAAGGGGGCUAGCGUUGUUCGGAUUAACUGGGCGUAAAGGGCGCGUAGGCGGGUUUUUAAGUCUGAUGUGAAAGCCCCCGGCUCAACCGGGGAGGGUCAUUGGAAACUGGGAAACUUGAGUGCAGAAGAGGAGAGUGGAAUUCCACGUGUAGCGGUGAAAUGCGUAGAGAUGUGGAGGAACACCAGUGGCGAAGGCGACUCUCUGGUCUGUAACUGACGCUGAGGAGCGAAAGCGUGGGGAGCGAACAGGAUUAGAUACCCCCGUAGUCCCUGUCUCUUAUAC